rnacentral:lncRNA from 1 species
CCUGUGCGGGUUUUUAUUUCUCGRUUUAAAAACUGCCCUUAGGGUAAAUGCAGCAUGGCGAGCUGCUUAAGGGGGACUUCUAAAUUUCUUCACUUAAAAGUGUUUAUAGAGGAUUGUUGACUGCUAAAAAUCCUUCGGUGCUUUUUUUUUUUUUUUUUUUUUUUUUUUUUCCCCCUCUAUCUNNNNNNNNNNNNNNNNNNNNNNNNNNNNNNNNNNNNNNUCUAUAGCUAUUACUGAUAGUUUAUCAUGUUAUAGAAUUACCGCUGAAGAGUAUUAUUAUAAUGCUUUUUUUUUCCCUCCCCAGCAAAAUGUUGACUUGAAGCAAAGAAGUUUGGUAUUUCCAGAGAAAUGUGACACCUUUAGCAUGGGGAGCAGGCAGCUCCCUGAAAAUGGCACUAAUGUGAAGAUGUAAUGGCUCUUUACAAGUCGUGUCGAAGGAAGUGAAAAUGCAAGAGCAGGAGAUUCUUCUGGGUGAGUUUAGUAUUCUGUGUGCUCUUAGUUCAUCUUGAUGGUUUUUGGCCACAGUCUCAAAACGUUACCUCUCAUCGGCCACGUUUCUGUAUAUUCUUGACUUUAAAGGUGUGAUAAGUGAAGUCCUAGGCCAAAAAUAUUUUAUUAGGCUAACACAGAGUAAGUGUGUAAGCAUGGCUGUCUUCUGCACUACAGUUUUGUUAUUGGUACUGUAGAAUUGGAAAAGGGAUAAGAUACUGUUUCUGGUAAGAACGUAUCAGUUUAUCUAAAGAUAUCAUAUGAUGAAAUUAACCAAAAAUUGCUGGAAUUACCGGCAGAUUGACUGGUGGUGAGUCAAGGUUUUUUCUGAUGAUAUCUCUUACAUUAACAAAUAGCUUAAUAUUUAGUGUUGCACUGGUAAUUUAUCCAUGCUGUUGUAUUGCAGGUGUUCAUGCUGUGAAAGCUUGCUUGUCUGAGGAGGAAGAAAUCCACUAAAAUACGCAAGUGACCAAGGGAGUAGUCAUCAUAAACUCGCAUAUUUUCCUGUCCUAAGACUUUAAGAAAUAUUAAAAAUUAUCCUGUUGUGUGUAUAUUAAAAUUAUCAAAACACGUUAUGUUUGGUUCUGUGUGUCAUUUUUACUGCAUAAAGGAGUGUUUUAUUAAAACAGUAUUGUGUCAUGGAAAAAAAAACAUACUGGACACUCAUAAUUUGCUAUAACAUGGUAAAGUAAAUGUAUACACAAUGCAGUAUAAUUACUGCAGAUAAUGUAAAUAAAUUUUAGUUGUAUAAGUAUUCUAUCUGG